UGGGCGUAAGGCGCGCGUAGGUGGUUUGUUAAGUUAGAUGUGAAAUCCCCGGGCUCAACCUGGGAAUGGCAUUUAAGACUGGCAGGCUAGAGUAUGGCAGAGGUAAGUGGAAUUUCAGGUGUAGCGGUGAAAUGCGUAGAGAUCUGAAGGAACACCAGUGGCGAAGGCGACUUACUGGGCCAUAACUGACGCUGAGGUGCGAAAGCGUGGGUAGCAAACAGGAUUAGAUACCCUGGUAGUCCACGCCGUAAACGAUGAGUGCUAGAUAUCGGAGGCAAGACUUUCGGUUUCGCAGCUAACGCAUUAAGCACUCCGCCUGGGGACUACGAUCGCAAGAUUAAAACUCAAAGGAAUUGACGGGGGCUCGCACAAGUGGUGGAGCAUGCGGUUUAAUCCGAUGCUACGCGAAAAACCUUACCAACCCUUGACAUGGUAGUCGCGGGGUUCAGAGAUGGACCUCCUCAGUUAGGCUGGACUACACACAGGUGUUGCAUGGCU
rnacentral:rRNA from 1 species